GUAAUGUCAGCAAGUCAAUUAGAAGUGACAAGAAGACAGUGUCUUCUGUAUCUUGGAUGAUUAUAGUUGGACACGGAUUCCAUGGUUUCAUUGAUGGUUUAACAAUUGGAGCGGAAUUCACAGAUAGUCUGAUAACGGGCAUUAGUAUCAGUGUUUCAAUAUUUUGUGAGGAAUUGCAUAACGGCCUAGAUAAUAAUGCCUUAUUCAACUUCCUCAGCUAUGCCAUGUCAGCCAGUUAUUGUCAGAACAGGAAGCCAGAUGACCUUGGAGAAAACCACCAAACAUCAGUAGGAAAACUUGACAAUCCUUGUCCAAUCAGAUCAGAGUCAAGUGUAACUCGCCAAUUGAGCGUCACUGAUGAGUAGACGAAACGCGCGUCUGGCGCAAAUACAAAAUUUCAAUCCUCGUAUCUAUGAUGAGUUUAUUUACAGGGUUAAAACUCAAAAACUUAGAGUUGAAAGGUUAACUUUAGCAGUAACAAUGUUUUAAAUAGCUCUUGAUAAAAUUUAAAUUGAACAAACAAUUUUCAAUAAGAUAUGCUUUUGAUAUAGGCAUAUUUGUAGCAAAGCACCCGGUUAGUAUAUAUUCUUAUUAAAGACUGAAAACAAUUCAUAUAGAUAUAAAAACAUAUGCAGAUGAUAUAAAAAUUCGUAUCAAAAUGCUUGAAAUUGGAUUUUAACUGAAUGUAAAAUUGAAAUAAACAGUUAUACUUUUUUGUAAA